rnacentral:rRNA from 4 species
GGGUUGUGAGGUUAAGCGACUAAGCGUACACGGUGGAUGCCCUGGCAGUCAGAGGCGAUGAAGGACGUGCUAAUCUGCGAAAAGCGUCGGUAAGGUGAUAUGAAC